rnacentral:rRNA from 1 species
UGAGGAAGAUAAUGACGGUACUCAACAAGGAAGUGACGGCUAACUACGUGCCAGCAGCCGCGGUAAAACGUAGGUCACAAGCGUUGUCCGGAAUUACUGGGUGUAAAGGGAGCGCAGGCGGGAAGACAAGUUGGAAGUGAAAUCUAUGGGCUCAACCCAUAAACUGCUUUCAAAACUGUUUUUCUUGAGUAGUGCAGAGGUAGGCGGAAUUCCCGGUGUAGCGGUGGAAUGCGUAGAUAUCGGGAGGAACACCAGUGGCGAAGGCGGCCUACUGGGCACCAACUGACGCUGAGGCUCGAAAGUGUGGGUAGCAAACAGGAUUAGAUACCCUGGUAGUCCACACCGUAAACGAUGAUUACUAGGUGUUGGAGGAUUGACCCCUUCAGUGCCGCAGUUAACACAAUAAGUAAUCCACCUGGGGAGUACGACCGCAAGGUUGAAACUCAAAGGAAUUGACGGGGGCCCGCACAAGCAGUGGAGUAUGUGGUUUAAUUCGACGCAACGCGAAGAACCUUACCAAGUCUUGACAUCCCUUGACGAACAUAGAAAUAUGUUUUCUCUUCGGAGCAAGGAGACAGGUGGUGCAUGGUUGUCGUCAGCUCGUGUCGUGAGAUGUUGGGUUAAGUCCCGCAACGAGCGCAACCCUUAUGGUCAGUUACUACGCAAGAGGACUCUGGCC